GCGUCGGUGGCAAAUGACGUAGAGCAUUCCAGCCCGGUCAGUAGAAGGUGCAGGUUCGAGUCCUGCCCGGCGCU
rnacentral:tRNA from 1 species